rnacentral:rRNA from 1 species
UGGGGAAUAUUGGACAAUGGGCGCAAGCCUGAUCCAGCCAUGCCGCGUGAGUGACGAAGGCCUUAGGGUUGUAAAGCUCUUUUGGCGGGGAAGAUAAUGACGGUACCCGCAGAAUAAGCUCCGGCUAACUUCGUGCCAGCAGCCGCGGUAAUACGAAGGGAGCUAGCGUUGUUCGGAAUCACUGGGCGUAAAGCGCACGUAGGUGGGCAGUUAAGUCAGGGGUGAAAGCCCGAGGCUCAACCUCGGAAUUGCCUCUGAUACUGGCUGUCUAGAGUUCGAGAGAGGUGAGUGGAAUUCCUAGUGUAGAGGUGAAAUUCGUAGAUAUUAGGAAGAACACCGGUGGCGAAGGCGGCUCACUGGCUCGAUACUGACACUGAGGUGCGAAAGCGUGGGGAGCAAACAGGAUUAGAUACCCGGGUAGUCCCUGAGCGGGCUGGCAAGGCGCAU